CCUACGGGUGGCAGCAGUGAGGAAUAUUGGUCAAUGGGCGAGAGCCUGAACCAGCCAAGUCGCGUGAAGGAUGAAGGAUCUAUGGUUUGUAAACUUCUUUUAUAUGGGAAUAAAGUGAGGAACGUGUUCCUUUUUGUAUGUACCAUAUGAAUAAGCAUCGGCUAACUCCGUGCCAGCAGCCGCGGUAAUACGGAGGAUGCGAGCGUUAUCCGGAUUUAUUGGGUUUAAAGGGAGCGUAGGUGGAUUGUUAAGUCAGUUGUGAAAGUUUGCGGCUCAACCGUAAAAUUGCAAUUGAUACUGGCAGUCUUGAGUACAGUUGAGGUAGGCGGAAUUCGUGGUGUAGCGGUGAAAUGCUUAGAUAUCACGCAGAACUCCGAUUGCGAAGGCAGCAUACCGGCGCUCAACUGACGCUGAGGCACGAAAGCGUGGGGAUCGAACAGGAUUAGAUACCCCAGUAGUC
rnacentral:rRNA from 1 species